AAAAAAAUCAAUCAAUUGAAUAUAAUUCCUGCGCUAUCACAAUUAAGUAACCGUCGUACACAGCUAUGGUUGUUUAAAACGGAAAGCAUACGGAAUCUGUAGUAAUCCGGCUACACAAGGCAAUUGCGUUUCGUGGACACCUUGUCGAUGAAACUAGUGUAAACAGGAGCAAUUUUUCGAAUGUCAUUUUUUUGUUUUGUUAAGGCGGUAGAAAAAAAAAACAAUUAUAAACCGUCCAAAAUAUACUGGAUACCUUCACAGUUCAAUUCGAAACGAAGUGAUUCGCCGUGAGUAAUGGCUCAUAUGAUACUAAAUCAUAUUUGUUCAGAACUAAAUGAGUCGGCCGGAGUUAUCGGGCGUGUUGUCAUU